rnacentral:rRNA from 1 species
AUUGAACGCUGGCGGCAGGCCUAACACAUGCAAGUCGAGCGGAUGAAGGGAGCUUGCUCCUGGAUUCAGCGGCGGACGGGUGAGUAAUGCCUAGGAAUCUGCCUGGUAGUGGGGGAUAACGUCCGGAAACGGGCGCUAAUACCGCAUACGUCCUGAGGGAGAAAGUGGGGGAUCUUCGGACCUCACGCUAUCAGAUGAGCCUAGGUCGGAUUAGCUAGUUGGUGGGGUAAAGGCCUACCAAGGCGACGAUCCGUAACUGGUCUGAGAGGAUGAUCAGUCACACUGGAACGGAGACACGGCCCAGACUCCUACGGGAGGCAGCAGUGGGGAAUAUUGGACAAUGGGCGAAAGCCUGAUCCAGCCAUGCCGCGUGUGUGAAGAAGGUCUUCGGAUUGUAAAGCACUUUUAGUUGGGAGGAAGGGCAGUAAGUGAAUACCUUGCUGUUUUGACGUUACCAACAGAAUAAGCACCGGCUAACUUCGUG